ensembl:processed_transcript
AAGAAUCCUAAAUAGCAUUUUUUGGGUGAGCACCCCGCAGGGUUGCCCUGGCAGGAGGUCUCGGGUGCUGGGAUUCCGACGCACAUCCAGCUACAGAUGAGUAAAGAAAAGAGGCCAUCCUGUGGUGCCCCACCCUUCACCUCCCACCCAAGGGGGGGGGAGGUUGGCAUGAGACUGCCCUUCUGCAAGUCUCUCUGUUCCUGGGCUGGGAAAAGUGUAGCGGUAGACAUGUCGCAGCAGCGCUGUAUUACAUCCAUGGAGACAUCUGCUGGGGUUUCAUGGGAAGCUCCUCCUUCGGAAAUGAAGAGAAUGUAUCAUCUUGGAAGACCUUCUUUUUGUGCGUCCCCCUUCUUCUCUGUUUAGAAUGGCACCAGGUGCCAAUAUGACCCAGGAGCUGUAGUCAAUGUAUUAAAAUGUGAACAGCAAAGAUGUGUGUGGAUGUAGUAGAGACUGGACCAAGGCUGCAAGUGCACCUGCCCUAGACUUCUUGCCAUGAAAGAUAAUGAAAUGUUCCUGGGUGAGUAUGGAGACACUGGGUUCUCUACAACUGCAGACAAAAAUCACUGCAGCUGGUCCCUCACUACUCCAGCACUGGCAAAGUCGCAGGUUACCGGUGAAGUCACGGGUCACCGUCAUCUCUAGAAAUGGGAAGUGGCACACGGGUGGAGGAGGAAGGACCAACUUUGUCUUCCAGCAGCUCACUUGCGAAGCUUCUGAGAUCUAGAGUCAGUCAGAGCUCAUCCUGGAGGCUCAGGCUGACACCAGAACAAGCCACCAUGAGGGCCAUAUAACCAGGGGCACAGCACUGGGCUCUGUAACUGUCACACCAGCCGCUUCCUCUCUCAGAGGACGAUAAGGCAAAUGUGAGCAGGCUUCCAACUGAUGCCUUCAUUCCCCCUUAUGAUGUCAAUGACCAUCUCAACUGUUAAAGUCGUUGUCUCAAACUCUCCUCACUGAGGAACAGUCACGGUGAUGUGAAACACCGUCCCUACCGCUGGCUCUGUUGCCACAUGGUCACACUAACAACAGUCAGGCAUAGAGCCACAGGAGAAUGACAAACCUGCCUUGCUGCUAGGACAGCAUCUGGGGGGGGGGGGUGCAUCUGCCUAACCCUGGACCAGAGGCUGUUUUCAGAUGUGCAAAGUCAGAAAGUUGGUUCCCAAGAGCACUUAUAUAGACACCAUUUCUCAAGCAUUCUUAAGGGACCACAUAUAGCCGGUGGGGAACCCCUUCGUUUUAUUUCAUGAUGUUCAAGGACAUCUCAUAUGCCAUUUCACCUUUGGGAAAGCCUUCUGAUGAGGCUAUACUCUAGAGCCCUUUCCUUAGGAAUACAAGCCUCUGGGACCAUCACCAGGGGGCCUUGGAAGCAACAGGGGACACAGCAUGGGAGGGACAGAGGAAGCCUACCGCAAGAGGUCUGGGAUGGUGUGUGGAGAACUGACAGUCUAACUUCUCGGACUCGUCGGCUCCGUCCAUCUCCCCUUCAUCACUGGACAGUCGGCUGGCAAGGUCGCCUCCAGCUGGGGGUAGAGGGGGCUCUGGAGUGUAGCCACUGUGGUUUGAAGAUGUACUGCUGCUUAUGCUGUUUGCGGAUGAUGGUCUAAGGGCGAGACGGGGAGAACACAGAGAACAAGUUGUUCUUGAGGAAAUCAGAUCCACCCAUUUCAUGCCGCCCAAAAGCAGCCCUGCCACGAUGUCAGGAAGGGCGAGCCAAUGGCAACGUUCUAAAGGGAAACAUUAAACUGCAGGGGCGAUAGCUCUCCUCGGGGACCCACUGCUGUUAGCAGUACAGUGCUCUCUGGCUUGCUGCCUCUGGAGGAUGACGCAAGCCCAAGGAAGAACCCCUAGUGUGAGCAGGGGGAUUGUGACACAUGAACUUAUGCAGAGUCUAGUGACUGUCUUCUGAGAGUUCAUCUACAAACACUCACCCAAGAUCAAGUGUUACCAACAUUUUAGUUUAUGUCCUUUCAGACUUUCCUUAGUGUACAUACAUGAAUUAAAAAAU